rnacentral:rRNA from 1 species
UUGUUUGCUGUGGAAAAUUCACAAAUAUUUAUAAUUCAUAAUGAUCCUUCCGCAGGUUCACCUACGGAAGGGGGUCAUUAU